UAAAAGAUUUUUAAGAUUUUAUUCAGAAAGGAGUUAUCGAAAAUGAGUCCAUGCAAGAUGGUAGCGUUCUUCAUGAUCCUCUUCGUCUCAUCUGCCUUGAUUGAUGAGAGUGUGGCAUGUGUGGAUUCCUUAGACGGUGUGGGAAAGACUGCAGUGGUCAGUGCAAGAAACUUCACGGCCGGAAAGCCAUUGGCUAAUGCGACCGCGGAGGGGCUUGCAUCUGCAGCUACCCCUGCCCUGCCGAUUUCCAACCGACAAAUCCAUGAACCUUCAGCUCUCCCAUCUCCUACCUCUCCUCUCUCUAUAUAUGUAAAUGACAACCGUCAAUCGUAUGGUCAUAAUAAUAAUAACAAGCAUUUCAUCCUCU